rnacentral:rRNA from 1 species
UACGGAGGGGGCUAGCGUUGUUCGGAAUUACUGGGCGUAAAGGGCUCGUAGGCGGCCAACUAAGUCGGAUGUGAAAUCCCCAGGCUUAACCUGGGAACUGCAUCCGAUACUGGAUGGCUUGAAUCCGGGAGAGGGAUGCAGAAUUCCAGGUGUAGCGGUGAAAUGCGUAGAUAUCUGGAGGAACACCGGUGGCGAAGGCGGCAUCCUGGACCAACACUGACGCUGAGUGAGCGAAAGCCAGGGGAGCAAACGGG